rnacentral:tRNA from 1 species
CGGGCUGUAGUCCAGUGGGAGGAUGCCCGUCUGGGAGACGGGAGGUCGCCGGUUCGAUCCCGGCCAGCCCGACCA